UGCUGUGCUAGCAAUCAGUGAGACUCCGUGGGCGUAGAACCCUCCGAGCCAGGUGUGGGAUAUAAUCUCGUGGCGCGCCGUUUUUUAAGCCCGUCGGAAAAGCGCAGUAUUCGGGUGGGAGUGACCCGAUUUUCCAGGUGCCGUCCGUCACCCCUUUCUUUGACUAGGAAAGGGAACUCCCUGACCCCUUGCGCUUCCCGAGUGAGGCAAUGCCUCACCCUGCUUCGGCUCGCGCACGGUGCGCGCACCCACUGACCUGCGCCCACUGUCUGGCACUCCCUAGUGAGAUGAACCCGGUACCUCAGAUGGAAAUGCAGAAAUCACCCGUCUUCUGCGUCGCUCACGCUGGGAGCUGUAGACCGGAGCUGUUCCUAUUCAGCCAUCUUGGCUCCUCCCCUGACUGAUGUCCUCCUUAUAGGAAUGGGAAAUUCAGAUGCAGACAGGUGCUGAAGACCAUGUGAAGGCACAGGGAGGAGGUGGCCAUCUGCAAGCCAAGGAGAGAAGCCUCAGAAGAAACCAACCCUGCCAACACCGUGACCUCAGACUCCAGCCCCCAGAACUAGCCAUAGUUUGUCUUCCACAACUGGAGGUUUGAAAAGAAGGAUGAGGACACUGAAUCUCAGAGACGUCAAGUUCUUUCAUCGAGAUUCCAUAGAAUGUUCCCUGUUUCUUCAUCUAUGACAUGGGGAUAAUGUGAGUAUACCUACAUCAGAGGGCUGCGAUGAAGACUAAAUAAGCUCCUGCCAUCAAAAGUUGGAGUCUGUUUCCCCACGCCUUGAAUCUGGGCUGGCUCUAUGAUCCACUUUGGACAACAGAAUUUGGUGGAAGUGAUGCUAUGCCAAUGCUGAGGUGAGGCCUCAAGAGGCCUUGUGGGCUGUGACUCUUUUGGAACGCUGCCUAGCUGUCACGUGAACAAGGCUACUGCAUGAUGAGAGACCAUAUGGAGCCAAAACAUGCCUUUCCAGCUGAGGCCCUCCUAGUCCAGCCAGCCCUAGAUGCACAAGCUGGUGACCAAAGAUACAUGAGUGAGUCCAGAUGAGAAGUCCCUCGUUGAGCCCAGCCCAAUUGCUGAUCCACUGACUUGUGAGAAAUAUUAAUUGAGCAUCUAUUAUAUGUAGCCACUGUGAUGGGCACUGUGAUGCAACUGAACAGAUGGACAAAGGCCCUUCCUUCUUAGAGCUUUAAGUCUGCAUGGUAGAGGGAAAAUGAUCUGGUACCAAUGAAUUAAGAAGAUAAUUCCAGAUGGUGACAAAUAUCCCCCAGAGGUUACUGACAGACCAAAAUAUCCUGACAACCCCGGAAUGCCAGAAGGAGAGAAGGGGUUUGUAAAUCUGAGGACCUUGACUACUUUUGUAAGAAGGAAUUACUUGCUAAGUACUGUCUCAGAAAGAAACUCUCUUGGAGGUUACCUGGGGACAAGUGGAGGAAGCAAGCCAUAGCCUUUUUGGAAUUGUGAUAAUAUUCCAAGGCAAAUGUUCCCAGGGGCUGGGAUUUUACCUUCUGUCUGUCCUACAAUCAGGGUGUAAGAUGGAGGAAUGCACUUCCCAUCUCUGAGCCACGGUUUCUCAUCCAUAGAAUGGGGAGUUUGGAUUUCUAAGAUCCCCCAUCUCACGCUUUGAAUGCGAUCAGGCUGGGAAUUCAAAAGCAUCUGCUCACUGGGAAAGGGAGGCAGUCAGGGUGGGACAGGGCUUGUAUUGAAUAACGAGAAAGGAGCAUGGUGACUAUGACUUGAGUCAGUCCGGAAAUAAAAUAUAAGGGGGUCUGAUCUGAGGCAGAAGAGGACAGCAGAAAUUCUCCUAGGAGUGGCAGUCAAGCCAGGUCAGGCUCGGGUCAGGCUGCCUGGUUCAGAGAAUGGCAUCAAUGUGUGCAGAGAGGUUCUUAAGGCCAGACAGGUGUCAGGGCCCAAGCCAAGUGGACUGGAGGUCAGAAUAGGGCUUCAGUUCUAAAAAAGGUGCCUGGCUGAGUGCAAAGCAGGCCUGAGUCAUCCAGACCUCACAAUCAUGGCUGGAGUGGCCACAGACAGACCCACAAUGGGUGCAGGGGAUCCCAAGUUUAUGACACCAAGAGUCAUUCCAGGCUUACCUAUGUUUUCAGGGCAAAUACAGGACUGAGUCUAGGCUGGAGGGUUAGAGAAGCUGAAACAGACACCUUUAGAACUGAAGUGUGAUGUUUUCAUUAAUCUGAAUACAAACCAUAGCCAAUAUAUAUGGUGUGCUUUCUCUGUGUCACUCUAUUCUAAGUAUUUCACAUGUGUGAACUCCCUGGCAGGCUAGUAGUAUUAGAGCUUUUGCUUAUUAAUCUCUAUGGUAACAGGUCAUUAAAAAAAAUAAUUAAUUACUGUGUUACCAAGAUCAAAAUAUAGUAAUAUUCGCCUCUUCAGCUGUGACCACCACCAUAGAAAAGUCCAGGCAAAAAUACAGAGAUCAGAAGGGGCAAGUGGAACCCUAUGCAGGCUAAAGACUCUUAGGAAAUAUGGGCCCUUGAAAUGUCCCCAUCUAUGUGGGUUUCAUUGUCAGUCCUUCUUUCUUUGGCAGGGUCAAGGGCAUUUGACCUGUUGAUACACCUAUUGCUUUUCCAGCAAGCCCUACAUCUUUCUAGUAAGGAGUCAAUGCACCAAAGCUGGAGGCCACUGGAGGUGACUCCAGUCACCAUUUUUCAACUUCUCCUAGAAAUGUCUCUUUGGUUUCUUCAGGCUUUGACUUGGGUGACUAUGGAGAACGUGACAUGGGAAGUUAAAAAGCAACAAGAAGUCUUUUAAAAAGUUUGAAUUACAUUGAACAUAUGUCUGAAAUGUAAGAAGGGGUAAGCCCUCUUUCUUACCAUCCUUCCUGACCAUGACCCCUGGGAGUCAGAUAUCCCAGGCACAGCUUAGCUUUCUAACCCUGCUGUGUUGCCCUCCAUGAUCUCUCCGAAUUUCUCUCCCUUUCCUCCCUUUACACUAAAAAUGCUCUAGUUCUGGCCUUCCUCAUCUCGUUAAUAAUUAAGCUGGCUGACUUAACUCCCUGCCUUCUGGUUGCCCUCUUCAAUCUGUCCUUGUCUCUGUCAGCAGCAGCAUCGUCCUGCUCAAAACCACAAAGACCUCCUACUGUGGAAAGACAGGUAUUCAGAAUCCACAUCGCACGUCUAGAUCCCCUGUGAUGUGCCCUGAAACAACCUCCACUGUCUUAGCUUUUACUAACAUCUUCCAUAAUUUCCAGGCCCAGCAGGCCUGAUCUUGUGCUCAACUUCCCCAACUUAGUCUCCUCCUUCUGUCAGAAAUAGCCUUUCUCUAUCUCCACCUGAGAUUAAUGUAUCCUGGAGAGUCUAUCUCUCUUUUCAGUGUCCAUAUCAAGGGCCGGCUCCUCCAGAAAGCCUUUCUAUACCUUCAACCUCCAACCUCAUAUCUCAUCAUUAGAAAAGAUCACGUUCUCAUUAGAAGCCCAAACCUCAGUAUCACAUAAUAUGCCCAUCUAACAAACCUGCACAUGUACACCCUGAACCUAAAAAAAAAUAAAAUAAAACAAAAAAAGAAAAGAAAAUAUACACUGAUGAGAAAAAAAAGGAUCAAAUCCAACUUUAAGUUCCUGAGUCUAACUUUCUAACUUUAUUUUAGUGCCUCCCAGAAUUAUCUGUGUUUGUGUCCACAUUAACCAUUGGCUGGGAUCAUCAUAAGUGAAUCACCAUGUUCCCCAAACCAAAAACUGCCCUGGCACACAGGAAGCUUACGUUAGUGUCUUAGUAUGGCAUAUAUGUAUACACACACUGUACACAUGAACACAUAUCUAUGUGAUGUUUCCAAACAUAGAUAUGUGUUCAUAUCCAAAGACAGUUGUCUUUGAAAGUAAACACAAUAAACUCGGAUAAACUUCUGGAACAUGGGGAUAGGAGGGUGGGAUGAAAGAAAGCAUUUAGUAAAUUUACAUUUCUUUAUGUAUUUCUUGACUCUUAAAAUCAAUAUAUCAUAAUUUAAUAACAUAAUUUAUUAAAAUGAAAAAUAAAAUAAUUCAUGUUAAUUGUAGAAUACAUACAUCUGUAAAGAAGAAUGACAAACAGGAAUAAUUUCCAGAGACUCACAAUCUACAUACAUUCUAUUUAUGUGAUUAGAUCCAUGUUAUUCUUAUGUUUCCUUUUUGCCAGUUAGCAUUGUAUGGAGAGUACUUCUCCAUUUUCUAUCAUUGGGUGUAUGAAUUGUUAACCACUUUGGAAUACUGCAAAUAAUCAUAUAAUGAAUAUACAUAUACUUAAAUCUUUGUGUGCAUUUGUUAUUAUUUACUAGGUUAGAUUCUUAGAAAUAGAACCACUGACUUGAAGGGAAUAUUAUCAUUUAAGGUUUUAAUCCAUGUUGCCAAAAUGUUUGUAAGAAAGUAUCCAUCUCACAAUACCCACAUCAGAACCAGGUAUUACAAUUUUUAAAACCUCCCAAACAUUUUCUUUUUCUUUCUUUUUUUUCUUUUCUUUUUUUUUUGAGACAGAGUCUCACUCCGUUUCUCAGGCUGGAGUACAGUGGCAGUGACUGCAACCUACGCACCCCCCAGGUUCAAGCGAUUCUCCUGCCUCAACCUCACGAGUAGCUGGGAUUACAGGCACCUGCCACCAUGACCCGCUAAUUUUUUUGUGUUUUAACUAGAGACAGAGUUUCACCAUGUUGGCCGGGGUGGUCUUCAACUCCUGAUGUCAAGUGAUGCGCCCACUUCUGCCUCCCAAAAUGCUGGGAUUACAGGCUUGAGCCACAGCGCCCAGCCCUAACAUUUUUUUUUUUAUGGAUUCUCCCUUUGCUUUUAUAAUGAGGGCACCUCUACCCUGAGAUGAAUCAGAUGCAUUAUUGUUUUUUGUCAAUUCUUUUACUACUUCUUCUUUAAUAUUUGAAUUUUUGAUCAAUUUAAAUCAAAUUAGGUAAAUUUUAUGAGGUAAGGGAGGAGACAUUUGCCUUGUUAUAAUUCCUGUAUAUUUAACCAAUCAUCCAUGUCAUAUUUAUUUAAUAAUCCUUCCCCACACUUUAAAUAAUUUGUAGUCUUAUUUUUGUUCUGUGUUUGAAUUACCAUAGCUGUAUAGUAUGAUUUGACAUCUGAUAGGGUAGAUUUCACCUUUUUAAUUAUUUAUUUUAUAUUCUGGGGUCAUUCUCAGCAUUUAUUUUGUCUAAAUGAAACGUAAACAGGCUGUCAAGUUUUCAACACAGAUCCAAGUGGAAUUAAACAUUUUUUUUCUUACGAAUAUUUGGGGACUUCAUUCCUUUCUUCCUUUUUUUUCUCUUCCUCCUCCCCUCCCUCCUUCUCCUCCUUCUUAUUCUAUUCUUCUCUCUCUUUUUCAUUCUCUUCUCCUUCCUUCCCUUCCUUUCCUUCUCAACUUCAUCUUCUUCGUUUCUCCAUCAUUAUCAUUUUCUGUUUAUUGAUUACACUUAAAUAAUAACUAUUUCAUAGAGAAAAUUAAAACUAGACAUAGUGAUCAAAUGUUGACAUGUUGUUUUUUGUGUCAAAUAUUCAAAUAUUUUUAAAUUGACAUCUAAAAGUUUAUAGAAACAGGCACAUUCCUCCACCAGAAUUUCCCUCUACUCUCAAAAGUAACCACCAUUAUAAAAUGCUGCACUGUCAGCAAACCACCAUGGCACAUGUAUACCUAUGUAACAAACCUGCACGUUCUGCACAUGUAUCCCAAAACUUAAAGUAUAACAAUAAUAAUAAUGCUGCACUGUCUUUUUUGUGUUGUUUUGUGCAUUUUUAACCUCUAAUUUCACAGCAUACUUAUUUGUCCAUAACUAUAUAUAUAGUGUUUUGCAUAUUUAAAACUUUUGUACAAAAUGUGUCAGAGUGAACAUGUUCUUUUGCAAUUUCAUUUAUUUUGGUCAACAAUAUGUGACUUUUCUUCAUGAACAUCCUGCAUAUUCCUUGUUUCAUUUAUCCUUGGUUAUUUAGAACAUUUCUUCUAUUUUAAUGCUAACUUCAAUUGACUCAAAUUUUGUUGACGGCUUGUGAGAUCAACCAAAAGCUAAAUGAAAUCAGUCUUCUGUGUGUGUGUUUGUUUUUAAUGCUUUCUAGAUUAGUCUGACAUGCACACCCAAUCGGAAAACACUAGCGCAGAAGAGGGAGAGCCUAAUAUCAGCAUUACCUAGGUAUUAGAAGAAUUUGGAUAUUAUUAUAUACACCUGGCAUGAUAGCUAGGACAGAACCUGUUCUGCCGGGAGAAGGCGCCUGCUCAGGGUUUCUCUUUCCCUACAUGGGAACCCCUGAAGGAGAGUCCUGCCUGUGAUCUUCAUUUAGAAGGCUAGUGCUGACCACUGCUUGGUUCUCAUCAAUCCAUCCUUGAGAUAUCCCCAAUCUCAUCUUAAAUCUGAAUUGAACCUGUCAUAUUAUAGCCUGGCUCUUCUCUCACCAACUAUUUGGGGGUAAUGUAGUGAUUCAUUUUGUUUCCACAUAUUAUUUUAAGUUCUUACUACCUCCUUCCCCCAUCUAGGUUCAGAUUUUCCCCUGCUUUUAACAUCUUGGUCCAGGCAGCUACAUUAUCAAACUGUACUAGGAUGGCAAAAUCAUUUUUUCACAUAUGCUAACCAUCAAUGAUUAGUGGUGAUUUUAUGGAAAAAUAUGUUGAGAAUAAUUUAGAGGAAAGAUUUGGGUUCAGAUAGAACUAUCUGCCAUUGGUAAGUAAAGUAAAGUGAUGUUGUCACUUAUUUUAUCCCAUCCAUGAUGAGAAUUGAUGUUUAUAAAACCUUUGACUAUACAAUGAGAGUAUUAAGCAAAAAACAAGUAACAAAAAUUAAAAAUAAAAUGCUUUUGUAAUCAAGGUCAGAGAGGAUAUUCUUUUACUUUUUCCAUUACAUUAUUCAUGUGUGCAUAAUGGUGUACAGUAUUACUUUCCAUGUGUAAAAAAGAAAUCAUACAAUAGAGUGCAUAGAGAAGUGGAGAAAUGGAGAAUAGUUCUCAAAGUUAUUUGAUCUGGCAGAUUAUCUUCCAAAGAUGAGUGCAACUGUAUUUUCCAUAUCACAGCCUCUUCUGGAAUAUUAAACUCUGCCCCCAUCAAGAGGUGGUGUCUGUGUCUGUUCUUGAAUUUGGGUGGGUCUUCCCGACUGCUUCAACCAAGAGAGUCCAGUAGAAAUGAUACUAUAUGAUUUUGGAGGUUAGAUCAAAAGACUGCCAUGCAUUUUAAUUUUGUUUUUUGAGGGUUGCUGUCUUUUAGAACCCAGCCAACAUACUGUGAUGAAGCCUAAACAACUGUGGAGAGGCUCACGUGGAGAGGAGUCAAUGCCCACUGAUCUAUAAGCCUUGGCUGAGCUCUGAGCCAACAGUCAUGAUCAACUUCCAGCCGUAUAAGUGAACCAUCUUGAAAGAGGCUUCACCAGCACCAAGUUGAGCAACUUGAUUAUGUUACCAAAGAUCACCUCCUUCCUAUCAUCUUCCGUCUGAGACUUGCUUAGAGUGAGUUUGGAAGCUGUGUUUUGCUCAUCCUGAAGACUGAACAUAAGAAAAUAUUGCUCAAGUUCUGGAUGAUGCAGCUGCUGAAAUAAUCUGUGGUGCACUUUCCUUCAGGAAUCCUUACCUAUUUUUUCAGGUGUUCCACAAGCCUUCUUAUCUUGGAAUUCAGUAAUACUUAUUGUGUGGUUGCUUACUGUUCCCUAGGCACCCUGAAGCAUUGAAGCUUUGAAGCUUUGUCUCAUGCUUUCAAGUAAUGUUCUCGUGUUUACCUGCUGAUAUUCCUUCAAAGUUAGAGGCUGCCUCUCUCCAAGUGUGGAAAAAAACAAUCAGAUGUCACUAAGAUAUUGUGUAACAAUUCAUAUUAAACACAUGAUCUUGUCAGUCAAGAAGAAGAGAUUAAAACAAACACCUUGAGAGUUCAUGAGUAGAAGUAUACAGCCCUGCAUUCAUGAUAAUAUGGUGCAUUUUACCUACCUUGCAGCAGAAAGAGAUAUCUAAUUCCAUACACAGCAAUGUAACUGUUUAAAGUGCUCCUAAAAUUCAGACAAAACAAAUUAUAAAUAGUAUCAAGAUCAAAGAAGCUGAAAGUCCCUAUGUUUGAUGUAGGCACAGCAAAGUUUGAUGUAUAUGCUCAUUUCUCAGCACUGCAAGUAUGGAGAAACCAUCAGAAAGCAUGCUGAAAAUAGAGAGGGCUUCUAAAACAGAAAGCUCCUGCCUGUUUUACUGAAGGCUACCAGAUUCUUUCUCAGAAAUUUUGUACAGUUCAGAGGCACAAAUGCUCUUUUAGGUCCUUUGAAGCACUGGGUUUAAUAUCGGAAUUUAAUCUUGGCUCUAGUCUCCAAUUCCUUACAUAGUCAUUCAAGCAAUCUUGGGGACCAAGUCUUCCAAUAGCAUAGUGAUAUUCAUGCCUGAAGUGGGAGGAAUAGAUAUCCUCCUCAUUAACAAGGGAUGAGAGAUCAUGUUUCAUAGGCAAAAUACUCAUGCAUGCAAAAAUGUAACUUUUCCAGUAAUUUUUUUAGUACUGAAAUUAGCUUAGCUCAUUAGCUCUCUCUUCUACCUAGUAGCAGGGAAUGCAGUUUUGCUAACCCAGGUGACUCAUUAUUUCUGUUUUCAAGUUUAGUUUAUUUUAGGUAAAUUUUUGAAUUCAUAAUGUUUUUCUGACCUUUCUUCUCUUCCAGAAGAGGUUAUUCUAACUUCUUAAUGGAUUUACUUUUGUAGUUGUUACUGUUAUAUAUAUAUAAUAG
rnacentral:lncRNA from 10 species